AGCGAACGCUGGCGGCAGGCCUAACACAUGCAAGUCGAACGAACCUUUCGGGGUUAGUGUCGGACGGGUGUGUAACACGUGGGAACGUGCCUUUAGGUUCGGAAUAACUCAGGGAAACUUGUGCUAAUACCGAAUGUGCCCUUCGGGGGAAAGAUUAAUCGCCUUUAGAGCGGCCCGCGUCUGAUUAGCUAGUUGGUUGAGGUAAUGGCUCACCAAGGCGACGAUCAGUAGCUGGUCUGAGAGGAUGAUCAGCCACAUUGGGACUGAGACACGGCCCAAACUCCUACGGGAGGCAGCAGUGGGGAAUCUUGCGAAAUGGGCGAAAGCCUGAAGCAGCCAUGACGCGUGAAUGAUGAAGGUCUUAGGAUUGUAAAAUUCUUUCACCGGGGAAGAUAAUGACGGUACCCGGAGAAGAAGCCCCGGCUAACUUCGUG
rnacentral:rRNA from 1 species